rnacentral:rRNA from 1 species
UACAGAGGUCCCAAGCGUUGUUCGGAUUCACUGGGCGUAAAGGGUGCGUAGGCGGUCGGGUAAGUCUGAUGUGAAAUCUCACAGCUUAACUGUGAAACUGCAUUGGAUACUAUUCGGCUUGAGAGUUGGAGGGGGGACUGGAAUUCUUGGUGUAGCAGUGAAAUGCGUAGAUGUCAAGAGGAACACCAGUGGCGAAGGCGAGUCCCUGGACAACUUCUGACGCUGAGGCACGAAAGCUAGGGGAGCAAACAGG